UGGGGAAUAUUGGGCAAUGGGCGAAAGCCUGACCCAGCAACGCCGCGUGAGGGAAGAAGGGUUUCGGCUCGUAAACCUCUGUCCUAUGGGACGAAGGAAGUGACGGUACCAUAGGAGGAAGCCCCGGCUAACUACGUGCCAGCAGCCGCGGUAAUACGUAGGGGGCGAGCGUUGUCCGGAAUGAUUGGGCGUAAAGGGCGCGUAGGCGGCCUGGUAAGUCCGGAGUGAAAGUCCUGCUUUUAAGGUGGGAAUUGCUUUGGAUACUGCUUGGCUUGAGUGCAGGAGAGGAAAGCGGAAUUACCGGUGUAGCGGUGAAAUGCGUAGAGAUCGGUAGGAACACCAGUGGCGAAGGCGGCUUUCUGGACUGAAACUGACGCUGAGGCGCGAAAGCGUGGGGAGCAAACAGGAUUAGAUACCCUGGUAGU
rnacentral:rRNA from 1 species